rnacentral:rRNA from 1 species
CCUUGUACACACCGCCCGUCACACCAUGGGAGUGGGCUGUACCAGAAGUGGCUAGUUUAACCUGCAAAGGGGGACGGUCCCCACGGUAUGGUUCAUGACUGGGGUG